AUUUACAGUUGAAGCAUCCUUAGAAGAGAACAGAUAACAAUUAAUUACCAUUGGAUGGAGGGAUACUUUGCUUUCUUUUGAACUCUUUGUUUGCUUGUUUACUAAAGAAACUCGAGGGAAACAUUUAAUUUCUUAAAAUCAGCAGUACCUUGCAGACCCUCCCAUCACUCCAUGGGUGACGUGCAUUAAGAUCACAGUGGUAGUUUGGAGAAAUUUAAGUCUUACAGCUUGCCUAGGUAUAGGGAGUAAUCCCAAGUUCCUAUUAAGAAGGCACCAACCCAAGCUGCUACCCCACAGCAUCCAGCAAUUACAACUUACAGGGGGCUCACUGGACACACUGAAGGAUGAUGGAUGAUGAUGAUGAAGCUGCUUCUUACUUCAGCCAACGCAGGGCAUGGCUGCCCUCGGCUGUACUAUACCCCACCCCACAGAAAUGGCUAGGCACAAAAACUUCCAUGUGGUAAACUCUGACAGGUUUGCAUUGGAAAAAGGCACACACCCUUGAAGCAUUUCAGGAAUAUGGGACCUAUUGGGCUUCAUUGCUUCUGUAGAAAGAAGGAGAGAGAGAAGCUGCCCAGAAAUCUGCAGCCAGCUGAAUACAGCGGUUUAGAAACACCUUGACAUUUCUGUCCCAGGACAUUACCUCCUUUUCCCAGUGAUUCACAGAUCUGCCCUACAUGGAAGAAUGUGACUCAUUUAAAAGCGUCUCUUCUUGGGGAAAGAUUUACUGAAUUUCUCCCACCCUUCGCUUUUCUGAAAAGAAUCAUGUAAAAAGGUACCUUCUUUUACAAACUCAUGUCUCUCUAAAUGCGUGUGUGUAUAUAUAUACAUACGUCUGUGUGUGUGUAUGAAUGAAUAUAUGAAUAAUUUGGAAAGAUAUGAUCCACUUCCCUUUAUCAGAAGUUCAAAUUAGACAGUAGAGGAAGGGAUCCUAUAAAGUUUGCAUAGGACACCUUGGAAGACUACCUUCCUCCAAGUGAAGGUUUUCCAGGGAGACACCUUGUUCCUACUCAGGAUGUACAUGUCAAUGUGAAGGAUAUUAUCCAGAGCAACCUGUCACAAAAGGAAUGGCAGACCUAAGGAAUUCUGCUCUAGUUUCCCCAAACCCCCAUAUCUACCUUCCAGCACAGAAAAAGCAUGCCAUCGUGCUGGAUCAUCUUACAGCUGUCAGGAGACUACCUCCAGAGCUGAAGGCAAUCAGCAGAAUACUAAUAAACUCCACUUUGCUUCCAAGGAAGUUUGAAGUACUAACUGCAGUUUGGCAGCCAGUCCACUUAGGGCUUUUGAGACCAUGUGUUAGCUUGCUCUCUUUCAGUUGCUGCAUCUGGAACGUGUGUUUCUUCUUGUUGCUCUGUUGUAUUGUGAAUAUUUCUCCUAAGAGUUGGUUUAUAACAUGUUGUACUUACUCUGAAAACACCGCACGUAGCAGGUGGACUAGGAAGGAACACGCUGGGAAGCAAACACAGUACACUGUAAACUCAGGGAAGCUUUGAGAGAGGUCGAAUAGAAAUGGAACAGCACUUCUCCCUAUGUGUGCUUUAACGCAAAUGCCAGCACAAACAAAGAAGAAAGUUUUGGUGAUCAGGUAAGAGGGGAAGUCUUCUCCAGUGGCUCUUCAUCAACAGACCCUGGGCAAAGGGCAACUGGUGAAGAGCCACAUCAUGACUCUGGGUAACCUCGUCAUGCCACAUCAACCAUGGCAGAAAGAGGCAACAGAAAUUUAGGUAAAGGUUCAAGGAAUCUGCACACACCAUCUCACGGCUCAGAGCGCUGGUUAAAUACCACGCUUCUGUGCUUCAGCUUCCCCAUAUGUACAUGCUUAUAACCUUAUCACAACCCCAUAUAUAUUCCUGGGAUUCAAAUGUAAAACCAGACACAAGCUAAACCUGAGAGCCAUGCUGUAACGCCUCAGUGAUCAACAUCUCUCAAGAAUUUCCAUUAGAUGUGGAAUGAAAGAAAUAAAAAAAUAACACGUCUGUAACUUAUGCAGAACAUCCUUUGUCCCAGCAUUACACGCUGUAAAACAGAAAUGCAUCCUACUAGGGCUUAUUGCUUUGAAUCAACCCUAUUUACAGAAAUAUGCCUUCUCGCAGGUACUUAAUUCUGAAAAUAUGACACAGGGAGUGAUUCAAAGCAAUUAGCACACUGAAAAUGUAACAUAUACAAACAAAUACAAUCUGUUUGAAUGCAGUUGAUUUUACUAUAUUUUUGCCACUUGUAAUAAUGACGAGAAGCAAGUAUUUAAUCUGUGACUUUGUAAAUGCAUGCCUUUCAUAUACGGAAUAGAAACUAUGCAUGAUAAACAAGAAAGGUAAUUGUAAGA